UACGUAGGGGGCUAGCGUUGUCCGGAUUUAUUGGGCGUAAAGAGCGCGUAGGCGCCAAGUAAGUCCGACGUGAAAUCUGGAGGCUCAACCUCCAGCGGUCGUUGGAAACUACUUGGCUAGAGUCCGGAAGAGGAGAGUGGAAUUCCUGGUGUAGCGGUGAAAUGCGCAGAUAUCAGGAAGAACACCGAUGGCGAAAGCAGCUCUCUGGGACGGUACUGACGCUGAGGCGCGAAAGCGUGGGGAGCGAACAGG
rnacentral:rRNA from 1 species